GUCAGGAUGAACGCUGGCGGCGUGCUUAAUACAUGCAAGUCGAACGAAGACACUUUGACAGAUCCCCUCGGGGUGAAGAUGAUUGUGACUUAGUGGCGGACGGGUGAGUAACGCGUGGGUAACCUGCCUCAUGCAGGGGGAUAACAGUUAGAAAUGACUGCUAAUACCGCAUAAGCGCACGGGACCGCAUGGUCAUGUGUGAAAAGAUUUAUCGGCAUGAGAUGGACCCGCGUCUGAUUAGGUAGUUGGUGGGGUAACGGCCUACCCAAGCCGACGAUCAGUAGCCGACUUGAGAGAGUGAUCGGCCACAUUGGGACUGAGACACGGCCCAGACUCCUACGGGAGGCAGCAGUAGGGAAUAUUGCACAAUGGGGGAAACCCUGAUGCCAGCGACGCCGCGUGAGUGAAGAAGUAUUUCGGUACGUAAAGCUCUAUCAGCAGGGAAGAUAAUGACGGUACCUGACUAAGAAGCCCCGGCUAACUACGUGCCAGCCGCAGC
rnacentral:rRNA from 1 species